AACGAACGCUGGCGGCGUGCUUAAGACAUGCAAGUCGGACGGUAAGGCCCCUUCGGGGGUACACGAGUGGCGCACGGGUGAGUAACGCGUGGGCAAUCUGCCCUCGGGUCUGGGACAACUCCGGGAAACUGGAGCUAAUACCGGAUAUGCCCACGAAGUCUCCGGACUUCGCGGGAAAAGAUGGCCUCUCCUUGGAAGCUAUCGCCAGGGGAUGAGCCCGCGUCCCAUUAGCUUGUUGGUGAGGUAACGGCUCACCAAGGCUCCGAUGGGUAGCUGGUCUGAGAGGAUGAUCAGCCACACUGGAACUGAGACACGGUCCAGACUCCUACGGGAGGCAGCAGUCGGGAAUUUUGGGCAAUGGGCGCAAGCCUGACCCAGCAACGCCGCGUGAGGGAUGAAGGCCCUCGGGUCGUAAACCUCUGUCGGGAGGGAAGAACGUUCGCCGGGUAAACAAUCCGGCGGGCUGACGGUACCUCCAAAGGAAGCGCCGGCUAACUCCGUG
rnacentral:rRNA from 1 species